CCACACCCCACCUCCGCGGGCCGGGCCUGGGCCUGGCUGCAGACCUCGGUCAGCCCUCUGCAGUCCGUGGGCUCACACUGCGCCUUCCUCCCAGCAGACAUGGGGUUGCUCCUGGUUUAGAGAAAGGCUCGAGCAGCCCUCCAGAGGAGAAACGGCUUCACCCCGGCUGCACUGAUGGGCGGAGGCUGCUGUCCUCCCCUGUGAAAGGAGACCUAGGCCUUGGUGGCCUCUCCUUGGGAGUCCUGCACAAGGGCAGAGGGGCCAGGAGAUGGACUUUGUUGGGGACGGCCCUUGCUGGGAGCAUCCGCUUUGCUUAAACCUCUCGGGUAGGGCUGGCGUGAGUCAAGGGUGAUCUAGAGUCCAGGGACGGAAAGGCUCAGGGCACCAGCUGAGGACGUGGUUUCCUCUGGGUCUUGCCAGUUUCAGGAGGUCAGAUGUUCUAAUCCCCACCAGCUGACCACUAGACAAGGGACGGGACCUGGAGGGCCGGGGUCUAGCCUCGACCCAAGGGGUCACCCGAGUGUCCACUGGGGGCAGGAGAGCCUCAGUGAGCAGCUUGGGGAGGCCGUUCCUUGGGGUGAGUCUUUCCUGGAACACAGAAGCAGGUGUGAGGCUGGGAAAUGCGUGGUGGGGAGAUCUCACGAUGGCCACGUUUCUUAGAGCAAGCCGUCAACAUGGCCGGCCGGCGAGCAGCCACGUAGGUCAUGGUACACGUUCAGGGACGGGGGCUUGAGCGUUGGUUUUCUUGCUCCCCACAUGUCAGCAGAAGUGGGCACCAUACAUGAAAGUGGGGGGUGAGGGGGGCCAGGUGUGUUGAAGGCUUGCCAGGAGGGUACUGUGCCACAAACCCAGCCCUGAACUUCCCCCCUCACUCCCCAGCACUGCCGGGCAGCUAGAGAGGGCCGUGGAACACGCCAGAAUGGAGAUGUGCCUGCACCCGUGUACACACACACACACACACAGGCACACACACACACACCCCUUAGUCUUCAUUCGUUGCUGGUGUGUUUGCAGGAUCACAGAGUCUAGGUAACAGACCCCUCGUGAUGC
rnacentral:lncRNA from 1 species